rnacentral:rRNA from 1 species
AUUGAACGCUGGCGGCAGGCCUAACACAUGCAAGUCGAGCGGGGUUUUCGGACCUAGCGGCGGACGGGUGAGUAAUGCGUAGGAAGCUACCCGAUAGAGGGGGAUACCAGUUGGAAACGACUGUUAAUACCGCAUAAUGUCUACGGACCAAAGUGUGGGACCUUCGGGCCACAUGCUAUCGGAUGCGCCUACGUGGGAUUAGCUAGUUGGUGAGGUAAUGGCUCACCAAGGCGACGAUCCCUAGCUGGUUUGAGAGGAUGAUCAGCCACACUGGAACUGAGACACGGUCCAGACUCCUACGGGAGGCAGCAGUGGGGAAUAUUGGACAAUGGGCGCAAGCCUGAUCCAGCCAUGCCGCGUGUGUGAAGAAGGCCUUCGGGUUGUAAAGCACUUUCAGUAGGGAGGAAGCGUUGUGUGUUAAUAGCACAUCAUUUUGACGUUACUCGCAGAAGAAGCACCGGCUAACUCUGUGCCAGCCGCCGCAGUAACAC